CGUAGGUGACCUGCGGAAGGAUCAUUAC
rnacentral:rRNA from 1 species